rnacentral:rRNA from 1 species
GACGAACGCUGGCGGCGUGCCUAAUACAUGCAAGUCGAACGAGAGCGACCGGUGCUUGCACUGGUCAAUCUAGUGGCGAACGGGUGAGUAACACGUGGGUAACCUGCCCAUCAGAGGGAGAUAACAUUCGGAAACGGAUGCUAAAACCGCAUAGGUCUUCGAACCGCAUGGUUUGAAGAGGAAAAGAGGCGCAAGCUUCUGCUGAUGGAUGGACCCGCGGUGCAUUAGCUAGUUGGUGAGGUAACGACUCACCAAGGCCGUGAUGCAUAGCCGACCUGAGAGGGUGAUCGGCCACAUUGGGACUGAGACACGGCCCAAACUCCUACGGGAGGCAGCAGUAGGGAAUCUUCCGCAAUGGACGCAAGUCUGACGGAGCAACGCCGCGUGAGUGAAGAAGGUUUUCGGAUCGUAAAACUCUGUUGUUAGAGAAGAACAAGUGCUAGAGUAACUGUUAGCGCCUUGACGGUAUCUAACCAGAAAGCCACGGCUAACUACGUGCCAGCAGCCGCGGUAAUACGUAGGUGGCAAGCGUUGUCCGGAUUUAUUGGGCGUAAAGCGAGCGCAGGCGGUUCCUUAAGUCUGAUGUGAAAGCCCCCGGCUCAACCGGGGAGGGUCAUUGGAAACUGGGGAACUUGAGUGCAGAAGAGGAGAGUGGAAUUCCAUGUGUAGCGGUGAAAUGCGUAGAUAUAUGGAGGAACACCAGUGGCGAAGGCGACUCUCUGGUCUGUAACUGACGCUGAGGCUCGAAAGCGUGGGUAGCAAACAGG